rnacentral:rRNA from 1 species
AUUGAACGCUGGCGGCAUGCCUUACACAUGCAAGUCGAACGAGUGUAGCAAUACACAAGUGGCGAACGGGUGAGUAAUGCAUCGGAACGUAUCCUAUUGUGGGGGAUAACGUAGCGAAAGUUACGCUAAUACCGCAUAAGACCUGAGGGUGAAAGCGGGGGAUCUUCGGACCUCGCGCGAUAGGAGCGGCCGAUGUCGGAUUUGCUAGUAGGUGGGAUAAAGGCUUACCUAGGCGACGAUCCGUAGCGGGUCUGAGAGGAUGAUCCGCCACACUGGGACUGAGACACGGCCCAGACUCCUACGGGAGGCAGCAGUGGGGAAUUUUGGACAAUGGGCGCAAGCCUGAUCCAGCCAUGCCGCGUGAGUGAAGAAGGCCUUCGGGUUGUAAAGCUCUUUCGGACGGAAAGAAAUUGCUUCGGAUAAUACCUGGAGUAGAUGACGGUACCGUAAGAAGAAGCACCGGCUAACUACGUGCCAGCCGCCGCGGUAA